rnacentral:rRNA from 1 species
GAUGAACGCUGGCGGCGUGCCUAAUACAUGCCAGUCGAGCGAACGGACGAGAAGCUUGCUUCUCUGAUGUUAGCGGCGGACGGGUGAGUAACACGUGGAUAACCUACCUAUAAGACUGGGAUAACUUCGGGAAACCGGAGCUAAUACCGGAUAAUAUUUUGAACCGCAUGGUUCAAAAGUGAAAGACGGUCUUGCUGUCACUUAUAGAUGGAUCCGCGCUGCAUUAGCUAGUUGGUAAGGUAACGGCUUACCAAGGCAACGAUGCAUAGCCGACCUGAGAGGGUGACCGGCCACACUGGAACUGAGACACGGUCCAGACUCCUACGGGAGGCAGCAGUAGGGAAUCUUCCGCAAUGGGCGAAAGCCUGACGGAGCAACGCCGCGUGAGUGAUGAAGGUCUUCGGAUCGUAAAACUCUGUUAUUAGGGAAGAACAUAUGUGUAAGUAACUGUGCACAUCUUGACGGUACCUAAUCAGAAAGCCACGGCUAACUACGUG